GUGCCAGCCGCCGCGGUAAUACAGAGGGUGCAAGCGUUAAUCGGAUUUACUGGGCGUAAAGGGCGUGUAGGUGGGUAUGUGAGUCAGAUGUGAAAGUCCUGGGCUUAACCUGGGGAUUGCAUUUGAUACUGCAUAUCUAGAGUGAAGUAGAGGAUAGUAGAAUUUCCAGUGUAGCGGUGAAAUGCGUAGAUAUUGGAAAGAAUACCGGUGGCGAAGGCGGCUAUCUGGACUUUAACUGACACUGAGGCGCGAAAGCGUGGGGAGCGAACAGGAUUAGAUGCCCUGGUAGUCCACGCUGUAAACGAUGAGAACUAGCUGUUGGCAGGCAUGACCUGUCGGUAGCGAAGCUAACGCGAUAAGUUCUCCGCCUGGGGAGUACGGCCGCAAGGUUGAAACUCAAAGGAAUUGACGG
rnacentral:rRNA from 1 species